rnacentral:rRNA from 1 species
AACGUAGGUGGCGAGCGUUAUCCGGAUUUACUGGGCGUAAAGCGUGUGCAGGCGGGGGGACAAGUGGUGUAUGAAAUCGCCCGGCUUAACCGGGCUCUGUUAUGCCAGACUGUACCUCUGGAGUGCGAGAGAGGGGCGUGGAAUUCCGGGUGUAGUGGUGAAAUGCGUAGAUAUCGGGAGGAACACCAGUGGCGAAGGCGGCUUCCUGGCCUGUUCUUGACGCUGAGGCGCGAAAGCUAGGGGAGCAAACGGG